AUUGAACGCUGGCGGCAGGCCUAACACAUGCAAGUCGAGCGGAGCGUCGGACGGGUGAGUAAUGCCUAGGAAUCUGCCUGGUAGUGGGGGAUAACGUCCGUGACCGGGCGCUCAUACCGCAUACUAUCAGACGAGCCUAGGUCGGAUUUGCUAGUUGUUGGGGUAAAGGCCUACCAAGGCGACGAUCCGGAACUGGUCUGCGUGGAUGAACAGUCACACUGGAACUGAGACACGGUCCAGAAUCCUACGUGAGGCAGCAGUGGGGAAUAUUGGACAAUGGGCGAAAGCCUGAUCCAGCCAUGCCGCGUGUGUGAAGAAGGUCUUCGGAUUGUAAAGCACUUUAAGUUGGGAGGCGUUACCAACAGAAUAAGCACCGGCUAACUUCGUGCCAGCCGCCGCGGUAAUAC
rnacentral:rRNA from 1 species